UGCCUGCAUUUUACGACAUUUCGCCGUGCAUGUGAUUUGCAUAUCGGAUCAUGUAAAAUGCCAACUCUAAAGUGCCAAUGAUUGCAGAAAAUAGUUAGCUAGAGUCGUUAUCAAUCGGUAGUUUAUGUUGCUGUGUUUGUCUUGUUCUUUCUAAACCUGACCACAAUGCGUCUGGUGUGGAGAGAGGAAUAGCAUACCGUAGAAAGUAGAAUAGAUAUGCAGUAGCAACAACAAGCCUUGGCUCGUGUGAGAUGAUGGGAUUUUUAUUUCUUUGAAUCAAAUCUAACCAAAAGCUUCAAUUGCUACCUGCAGAAGCAGACAAAAAUGUUGUUUAUUGAAUAGCACACCAGACUUCUUUGGUUUGCAGCCUCUGGUUUUACCCACACCCUUUCUGUUCGGAUAUAUAACACAUCAGAGAAAAUGGCGGAACUCGAGAAGGAAGGACUGAACCAAACAAUGCAGGAGAACCAAGAUGAAGAUGAGCCCCAUUAUACCGAUGACGCUAAGACAAGCAAGAUGCAAGACGACGCAAGUUUCGAGGAAAAGCUCAUUGAAGAGGUCAGAAGGUACAACAAUUUGUACAACACCUCAUUGAAAGACUAUAAAGACUUCACAAUAACCAACAACAGCUGGAAGGAGAUAGCCCAAACUCUGGGAGUAGAAGAACAGAUUUGCAGGACGAAAUGGAAGAAAUUGAGAGACCGAUAUGUCAGACUGAGGAGGAAGAUUAAGGGGAAGAGUGGGGAUGCAGCAUCAGGAAUACAAACACAAAUACUCACCACGCUGUCCUGGCUGUCUGGCUUCAUUAAACACAAGGAGACGAAGUCAGACUAUCCACAGGCAGAGGAGAUGGACACCUCAGAAGACCUGCAAGAUGACAACCUGAUCGAACGGGAACACUUCCACAGUUCUAAUAAUGAACAGCAAGAUGGACAUUUGGCAGUUAGGAGGAAUGUAAUAUUAGAACGAACAAAAUUCAACCAAAGACAACAAGAAGCAGGAGAGACAGCUGAUGAUUUUAUCACUGCACUUCAUUGUUUGUCAGAACAUUGCGGUUAUGGAGCUCUGCUCAGUGAGAUGAUAAGAGACCGACUAGUCGCAGGCUUACUUGACAGAAGACUGUCCAAGCAAUUACAAAUGGACCCAGAACUCACACUGGAUAAAGCUGUCACAUGUAUUCGUCAAACUGAAAUUGUGGAAAAGCAACAGUACCUGCCGGAGAAUAACUUCAAAGCUGCCAGCAGAAGAGAGAAUGAAGGCUGUGUGCUUUCAUAUAGAGAGCAUCAAUGCCCAGCCAAUGUCCAGUGCCAAUCAGAGAAGAAGAAUCAAAACUCAGAAAGGCUACAACAACCCCAAACAACACACGAGAAGGAAGAGGAGCCCCUAGAUACUGAUGACACUGAUGGCUUCAGUCCUGGAGGAGAAAAGCCUCACUACUGCGCCUACUGCAGUAGGAGCUUUCAAAAAGUGAGGGAUCUUAUAAGACACAGACGAACACAUACUGGAGAGAAGCCUCACCACUGCCCUGAUUGUGACAGAAGGUUUGCUCGAUUAGAUAAGCUUAAAUUACACCAGCAAACACAUACUGGAGAGAAGCCUCACCACUGCCCUGAUUGCGGCAGAAGUUUUGCUCGAUUAGAUAAGCUAAAGAUCCACAAAGAAAUACACAUAGGAGUGAAGUCUCACCACUGCCCUGAUUGCAACAGAGGUUUUGCUCGUUUAGAUAAGCUUAAGUCACACCAAAAAAAACAUGCAAAAGACAAACAUAUUUGUCACUCUUCUGACUGUGUGAAAAGUUUUGUCCUAUUGGAGAAGCUUGAAAAACACCAGCUGGAGAAUACCUUCAAAGCUACCAGCAGUGCAUCCAAUGUAGACUGGGUGCUCACACAGCAGAGAACAUUCAGCAAAGUUAGAGAGAGUAAAAGGCAGCAGAGUAAAGUACGAGCUAGAGCUCCAGGAAAGAGAACACCAACACAUAGCAAAACAGUAGAGGAGAAGGAAGAGGAGCCCCUAGAUACUGAUGAUUCUGAUGAUUGGAUCGAGGGUUUCAGUCCUGGAGGAGAGAAGCCACACUACUGCUUUGACUGCGGUAAGAACUUUAGAAAAGUGAGGGAUCUUAUAAGACACCAGCGAACACAUACGGGAGAGAAACCUCACCACUGCCCUGUUUGUGACAGAACUUUCGCUAGAUUAGAUAAACUUAAAUUACACCAAGAAAUACAUACAGGAGUGAAGCCUCACCACUGCCCUCAUUGUGAGAGAAGCUUUGCUCGAUUAGAUAAUCUUAAAUUACACCAAAAAAUACAUAUUAAAGAGGAACAUAAUGUCACACCGAACCAUCAAACUGAAAUGAAUGUAGACUGUGUGCACACACAGCAGAGAACAGCCAUCAGAGGCAGGCAAAAGAGUAAAAUGCGAGCUAGUGCACCAGGGAAAAGAAUGGUCCAGUCACAGCCAGGCAAAGACUCCCCUUACAAAAGUUCAGUUCGAAAGAAUCAACACUCAGAAAAAUUACAACAACCCCAAACAACGCAGGAGAAUGAAGAGGAUCCUGAAGGUACUUCUAAUAACUGGACCGAGAGUUUCAGUACUGUAGAGAAGCCAUACAUCUGCUCCGACUGCGGUAAGAGCUUCAGACUAGAGAAUCGUCUUAUAAGACAUCAGCGAACACAUACAGGAGAGAAGCCUUACGACUGCCCCGACUGUGACAAAAGUUUUGCGCGAUUAGAUCAUGUUAAGUCACACCAAAAAACACACAUGAAGGAGGAACGUAAUUUCCGCUGCUCUGACUGUGUGAAAAGCUUUGUCCGGUUGGAACAGCUUGAAAAACAUCAGCUAACACACAAGAAAAGUUAUAGCUGUUCAAAGUGUGAGGAAAGGUUUUCAGACCUGGUUGACUGGAAAGCACACUUUUUAGUACACAGAGAGAUCCUCCACUGUCCUGACUGUAACAAGCAGUUCUUGUACAAGGGACUUUUUGAAAGACACAGGAGAACACAUUUGAGAAAAAGAGAGAAAUUUCUCUGCACAAUAUGUGGGAAGGAGAUUCACAACUUUAAAAUACACAUGCGAGUACACACUGGAGAGAAACCAUAUCACUGCACUGAGUGUGGGAAGAGUUUUGCAUAUACAAAAUCGUACAAAACACAUAUAUUAACACAUACCUCUGGAGAAAGAGCAACCUAUCCUUGUUUGGAAUGUGGAAAGACAUUUACUCGCAUAGAUGGCAUGGUGAGACACGUGAGGAGGGUUCAUACUGGAGAGAGAAAUCAUCAGUGCGGAGACUGUGGAAAAAGAUUCUUUCGAAAAGAGUCACUGAAGAGACACAGUCUAGUUCACACUGGAGAGAAACCAUACCAAUGCUCUGUCUGUGGGCAACGCUUCUCCCAAGAUGGCGACAGAAAACGGCACGAGAAGAGGCACUACUCUGGUGUCUCAGAUUUCCUCGAUCUAUAAUGCAGAAGUGGUGUUUGGCAUUGCAGGAACCUACCCAAUGUGAUUUCUAACCAGUUGUUCUUUUGCCUCCAGGUGGCCUGGAAUUGCCACUUCAGACUGUAGAAAAGACACAGACAGACUGUUGCUGAUACACAACAAGUCUGAGUAUUACUGUUUUCAUAGCAGUAUUUUUUAUUUUUUAUUAUUUUAAAUGUGUUUUAAUAUUUUGUUUCAAAAUGGCAUAGUAUACUAUCAAUAGCGGUCAUUGUUAAAUGAUGGGCCUUCCCCAUAAGUGGUUUGCAGUCAGCUAUAUUGUAUUAAAGAUGCACAAAGCA